rnacentral:rRNA from 1 species
CCUACGGGUGGCAGCAGUGGGGAAUAUUGGACAAUGGGGGGAACCCUGAUCCAGCCAUGCCGCGUGUGUGAAGAAGGCCCUCGGGUUGUAAAGCACUUUCAGUGAGGAAGAACGCCUUGUGGUUAAUACCCAUCAGGAAAGACAUCACUCACAGAAGAAGCACCGGCUAACUCCGUGCCAGCAGCCGCGGUAAUACGGAGGGUGCGAGCGUUAAUCGGAAUUACUGGGCGUAAAGCGCGCGUAGGUGGCUUGAUAAGCCGGUUGUGAAAGCCCCGGGCUCAACCUGGGAACGGCAUCCGGAACUGUCAAGCUAGAGUGCAGGAGAGGAAGGUAGAAUUCCCGGUGUAGCGGUGAAAUGCGUAGAGAUCGGGAGGAAUACCAGUGGCGAAGGCGGCCUUCUGGACUGACACUGACACUGAGGUGCGAAAGCGUGGGUAGCAAACAGGAUUAGAUACCCGUGUAGUC